AUUGAACGCUGGCGGAAUGCUUUACACAUGCAAGUCGAACGGCAGCACGGGGGCAACCCUGGUGGCGAGUGGCGAACGGGUGAGUAAUACAUCGGAACGUGCCCAGUCGUGGGGGAUAACGUAGCGAAAGUUACGCUAAUACCGCAUACGAUCUACGGAUGAAAGCGGGGGACCGUAAGGCCUCGCGCGAUUGGAGCGGCCGAUGUCAGAUUAGGUAGUUGGUGAGGUGAAGGCUCACCAAGCCGACGAUCUGUAGCUGGUCUGAGAGGACGACCAGCCACACUGGGACUGAGACACGGCCCAGACUCCUACGGGAGGCAGCAGUGGGGAAUUUUGGACAAUGGGCGCAAGCCUGAUCCAGCCAUUCCGCGUGCAGGACGAAGGCCUUCGGGUCGUAAACUGCUUUUGUACGGAACGAAAAGGCUCUGGUUAAUACCUGGGGCUCAUGACGGUACCGUAAGAAUAAGCACCGGCUAACUACGUGCCAGCCGCCGCAGUAA
rnacentral:rRNA from 1 species